rnacentral:rRNA from 1 species
AACGAACGCUGGCGGCAGGCCUAAAACAUGCAAGUCGAGCGGGCAUAGCAAUAUGUCAGCGGCGGACGGGUGAAUAACACGUGGGAACAUGCCCUUUGGUACGGAACAACUCAGGGAAACUUGAGCUAAUACCGUAUGUGCCGGUAACGGGAAAGAUUUAUCGCCAAAGGAUUGGCCCGCGUCCGAUUAGCUAGUUGGUGAGGUAACGGCUCACCAAGGCGACGAUCAGUAGCUGGUUUGAGAGAACGAUCAGCCACACUGGGACUGAGACACGGCCCAGACUCCUACGGGAGGCAGCAGUUGGGAAUCUUGGACAAUGGGGGAAACCCGUGAUCCAGCCAUGCCGCGUGAGCGAUGAAGGCC